UGUUCUGAUGAGGCAUCUAUUUUGGGUACAACCCAAGUAUUGACCUGCCCCAUAAUAAUGUUAUGUAUAUCGUGCAUUACUGCUAGCCAACAUGAAUAUUAUAUA
rfam:Macaca mulatta chromosome 5, whole genome shotgun sequence.